rnacentral:rRNA from 1 species
UAGGUAACCUGCCUCUAAGAUUAGGAUAACUUGUCGAAAGACGAGCUAAUACCAAAUAAGACCACGGUCUCCUCGGGGACAGAGGUCAAAGGUAGCCUCUAUUUAUAAGCUAUCGCUGAGAGAUGGGCCUGCGUACCAUUAGCUUGUUGGUGAGGUAACGGCUCACCAAGGCAAAGAUGGUUAGCUGGUCUGAGAGGAUGAUCAGCCCACACUGGAA